rnacentral:rRNA from 1 species
UGGGGAAUUUUGGACAAUGGGGGAAACCCUGAUCCAGCCAUCCCGCGUGUGCGAUGAAGGCCUUCGGGUUGUAAAGCACUUUUGGUAGGAAAGAAACAUCAUGGGUUAAUACCCCGUGAAACUGACGGUACCUGCAGAAUAAGCACCGGCUAACUACGUGCCAGCAGCCGCGGUAAUACGUAGGGUGCAAGCGUUAAUCGGAAUUACUGGGCGUAAAGCGUGCGCAGGCGGUUCUGAAAGAAAGAUGUGAAAUCCCAGCGCUCAACAUUGGAACGGCAAUUUUAACUGCCGGGCUAGAGUGGGGCAGAGGGAGGUGGAAUUCCGCGUGUAGCAGUAAAAUGCGUAGAUAUGCGGAGGAACACCGAUGGAGAAGGCAGCCACCUGGGAUAACACUGACACUCAUGCACGAAAGCGUGGGGAGCAAACAGG